AGCCAUCUGAGUCCAUCUUGCGACGCAGGAAGAAGUCUCGCUCCAGGUUGUCCACACUGAAGUAAUAUUCUAUCUGCCGCUUGAUGUAGUCCUUGAGCAGUUCCUGGUCCACGCUAUAAAGCUCGGUGCUGCUAAUGUUGUCAAAGUAGUAAGUGAUGUUGCUUGCAUACUUCUGGGUGCGGGAGCCAUCUGAGCCCUCAAAUUUCCGGUAUCCAUACUGGUAAUCAAAGUGCCCUCCUCUGCCACGGCCCCGGCCCCUGCCACGGCCCCUGCCUCGGCCCCGGAAGGCUCCUCGUACAGCUCCCCCCUCACUCUUCACACUGGAGGUCUCAUCAUGGUCCAGCCAGGGGCGUUCGUGCUUGUUGUCUGGGUGCCAGCCUUUCAGCUCGCCACGGUUGUUGGGGAGGUGCCUGUGCUGCUCAUUUUGCCGGUUGUUCCGAGAGGCUGUUUUGUCCCGAGGCACCUCUGACUUCAUGUCUAUCUGCAAAGGGACCCACUUGUGCUUGUUGCCUUUCUUCUUCUGGGCUGACUUCUGGUUGUCAUCGUCACCGUUCUUCUCCUCCCCAGACUCAUCUGAUUUGGUUUUCAGGCUCUCUUUGCCAUCACUCCCAUCUCCUUUCUCCUGUUCUUUCAUGUCUUUCUUGAUAGGCAGUUUCCGGAGGGAUGGUGCUUUGUGUGGCUGCUGGACACUCUUGUGGGCUAUUUCUCCAGGUGUUGGCCAAUUUGUAGCAUCACCGAAGUCACCAACCUUGCUUCCCUUCCGCUGCCUCGGGUUGGCAGCCCUCACCACUUUAGCAGGAGUUGUGUUUUCAGACUGGCCAUCAGCUGGAAAUAUAUCUGGAGGCGACUGCCCGUUGACCGCCAGCGCGGCCGCGUUCUUCGUCCAGGGGUUCACCUUGGGCGGCGGAGCCUCGAUGAACUCCCUUCGCCCCGCUCCGCCGCCCGCCUCUCCGCCCUCCUCCGCCUCGCCGCCCGCCCGCAGCAGGCUCUCCUUCUCCUGGUUGUUGCUCUCCUCUUUCUGCUGCUUGGCGCUGGGCGGCCGCGGAGCCGCGGGGCCGCCGUCGGGGCCCAUGGGCGGUUCGCCCUUCUCCCGGCCGCCGUCCUGCGGCGGUUUCAGCACCAGGGCGCGCUCCUCGGCGGGCAGCAGCGGGGCGCCGGGCAGCAGCGCCUCCACCUGCGUCGCCAUCUGCGCGCCCCCGCCCCGCACGGGGGGAAGCGCCCCCUCAGCGCACUCACACGCGCACGCGGCGUUCCCCCGCCCCCCCACAGCGGCCGCCGCCGCAGCAAUAUGGAGACGCGCGGGGACCACGCGACUAGCCGCG
rnacentral:lncRNA from 1 species